ACGUAGGGGGCAAGCGUUGUCCGGAUUUAUUGGGCGUAAAGAGCGUGUAGGCGGCCAGGUAGGUGGGUUGUGAAAACUGGAGGCUCAACCUUCAGACGUCGACCCAAACCCCCUGGCUAGAGUCCGGAAGAGGAGAGUGGAAUUCCUGGUGUAGCGGUGAAAUGCGCAGAUAUCAGGAAGAACACCCGUGGCGAAGGCGGCUCUCUGGGACGGUACUGACGCUGAGACGCGAAAGCGUGGGGAGCGAACAGGAUUAGAUACCCUGGUAGUCCACGCCGUAAACGAUGGGUGCUAGGUGUGGGGGUGUCAACUCCCUCCGUGCCGAAGCUAACGCAUUAAGCACCCCGCCUGGGGAGUACGGCCGCAAGGCUA
rnacentral:rRNA from 1 species